rnacentral:rRNA from 1 species
UACGAAGGGGGCUAGCGUUGUUCGGAAUUACUGGGCGUAAAGCGCACGUAGGCGGAUAUUUAAGUCAGGGGUGAAAUCCCGGGGCUCAACCCCGGAACUGCCUUUGAUACUGGGUAUCUCGAGUCCGAGAGAGGUGAGUGGAAUUCCUGGUGUAGCGGUGAAAUGCGCAGAUAUCAGGAAGAACACCUAUGGCGAAGGCAGCUCUCUGGGACGGUACUGACGCUGAGACGCGAAAGCGUGGGGAGCGAACAGG